GGCAAGUCUUAACAACAUUUACGAGGAUAGGUGGCGGAAGCCAUAGAGUUCUGGCCAAGAUAUAUUCAUUUACAGGCCAGAAUAGUUCUGGCGUAACUUCUUUCCGGCUGAUGCCGGAUUCAAUUGGACAAUGAGUGAUGCCAACUUACUAGAUGUAUGCUCCGCUUGUAUCCAGAACUCUCUAGACGGACCCAACCUAUGUUCCAAAGUUAUUUGAUCUGGAUAGUUAACAGUUCCAGAACAGAGAACGAAUAAUGUGACACAACACGCUGUUACAACAACAACAGCCAAAACACCGUUGGAGAGGCCAGGUGGAAAAGGAUAUUUUGAAACUAGGUGUCAGCAAUUGAAGAAGAAUCGCCGAAGAUCGAGGCGCUUGGUGUUCUAUGUUGAUAAAGAAAGCCAUACUCGCAUGCGGGGAUAAAUAGAAUAUCAUUGGCUUAGAAUCCACCACAGCGCUGUUAUUUGCGCAUUUAUUACCUUUCAUAUUUUUCAAACCAAUUGAUACAUGUAUGUCGCUUGAAUACAUCGUUCACUAUUAAAGUACGUACAUAUUGCAUAAUAUUUCUGUUAGAUUGUUAUUUGAUUAAAAAAAUGGUAUAUUGUAUAUAAUUAAUGUGUUAUAUUAUAAAUUUUUGCUUUUAUAAUAAAUCGUAUACAUAUGUUUACUAUUAGCCUUUUCUUUUUGUGUAUAGUUUAGAAGAACAAA
rnacentral:sRNA from 1 species